ACCAGUCUCUUCUACUUCAAAAGCCAGACUCUCUAGAGCUGGAGCCCCUUCCUAUUUCGGGUUCCCACAGCCCAGGAAGACGGAGAGUGGCCAGUCUGGGCCACAGAACUCGUGGGCAGGAUCUGAGCAUGCUGCCGAGGAUAUGUUCCACCCCCAAGAUUCAGCCCUGUUGCCAGCAAAACACAGGGUCUUGUGUCAGGAGAUGUGGGAAGGUAUGGGACUGGCCACCAAGGAAACGCUGAGUUAGGAGCCAGACAAGGAAAUCAUAAAGGCUAUUGAGCACCGGAGCGUCAGCACAGUUGAUGAGGUUCCACGCCAGGGGUGGGAGAAUACAGACAGGAAGGACGCUGCCACUUACAUGGUUACUUUGGCCUCAUGGAAAAUCCCCAAAGUCCAGAAGGAGGGAAGCAAGAAGGAAAGACAGUGACAGACAAAGUGCCUU